GGAAAAAAGCAACAGCCACAGGGAGGAGGGAGGGGAGGAGGGGGAGUGAGACAAGGAGGGAGGGGAGGAGUCGAAAACCAACACAACAAAGUGAAAAGAGAAAUGAGAAAUGGAGUUUUGUAAGUUUCGGGGUUAAAAAUAGCAGAAGUUUCAAAAAUUACUCACAGGCGUCCAGAAGACAAAUCAUAAUCGAAACAAAAACGGAAGCCAGGUUAAAGGAAAGCGAAAGGUCGGGCGGCGCGGCCCAGAACUCAAAUGUGAUCCACAACCGAGGAGGAAGCAGCUGCGGGCGGCGGGGAGGGGGCAGGGGUGGGCGGGGGUGUUGGGGGGACAGCAUGGGCAGCCGAUGUGGCGGGGAGCCGUGUCUGCUCCGGCCGCCGGGCACCCCUGUGGCUUGGGGGCAGGAUGGGAGGUGGUCACAGCCGGGAUCGGGGGACCUUUGCCCAGAGUGGCUGUCGGGUGGGGGGUCCCCUUCUCUCCUCCCGACCUCCCCGCCCGUGAGCCCAGCCUGGGGUCACUUGCAGCCGCACCCACCUGCCGGUGCACCAUGUGCUCUCGGCCCUCGCUGGGCGAGCGGGACCAGCGCUGGUCCCGGGCCCGCGCCCGGCCGUGGUCUGGCCGUUCCUGGGCAUAGCGGUCCUUGUCAGGGGGCGGGGGAUGGUGGUGGUGGUGGUGGUGGUGGUGCUGUCGAUGCUUCCGAUCCUUGGGCCGGCCCCGCUCCUGGUCCCGCUCCUUCGACGGCAGGUCCCCGGAUUGAGUGGUCAUGCUCAGGUCCGUCCCCAAGCCUGGGCCGGGUGAGGGUCGGACAGACAGACAGACAGACAGGUGGUCGUGAGGGAGAGGUGGUGCAGCUGCAUACACAGGAGGCCACCGGGAGGGUGUAGGGCCCUAGGGAUCCCCUAGACCCAGGCAGGUCAGUGGGUCGGGGGGAGGGGGCAGUACCCAGGUUCCUGCAGCCACUGCCUGGCCCCCUCUGUUCCCUCUGCAUGGAGGCCUUUCCCUUUCUUCUUCCUCAGUGUCUCCCCCGCCCUGCCUUCUCCUCCCCUCUCCUCUGUUCCGCUUGUCCCUGAGCCCCACGGGGCUGCCCAUCUGUGUCCAUGUCGGUGCCCACCUGUGUCCACGUCGGUGUAGCGGCCCAGGGAGCGCUCAGAGGUGCGGUGGCUGCGGUCGCGGCGCCGCUGGUGGUGCCGCUGGUUCUCCUCCGGUGGGACCCGCUCCAGUGAGUAGUCAUCCAGGCGUCGGGCCUUGGGGCCCAGCACGGAGGCUGAACGCUUCAUGGGGCUGGUGUCUGAGAUGGUCUGGGGGGGGACAGGCCAGUGGGCUGGGGUCAGCAGCUAGCACCAAGUGGUCCCGGUCCUUCCUGCCCCAUCGCGGCAGCCUGGCGGCGGCCUUUGGUGACUGGCGUGUGACCAUCCCGGGGCAGGGGCCAGGGGGUGCCGCGGGGCCUUGGCUCCCCCUGAUCAAUCAGGGCUCAGAGUGUGGCCAGGCCUCUGAGGGUGGAGCGUGAGGACUCCUCUGUCCCUCGGAGACAAGACGCUCCUUUUGAGCCCAUCCUGGGUUCUGACCAGAAAGAUCUGACCCUCAUCCUCCAGCCCCGGGGCCCAGCCAGGGUUGAGCAGCCUCAGGCUGGCCAGAGGGAAGCCCUGCCCUCAUACAUCCAGGGUGCAAACCUGGGAGCCCCGACUGCUGCCCUCAUCCCUGCCCCAGCUUUCUCUCCUGGGACGGUGAGAAGCCUCCGACUCUGUGGCUGGCUGACCUAUGGACUCAGGACCAGGUGCCUGGUAGGGCAGCUCCAGGUCCUCCCCGCUAACGGGGCUGUGCUCGCUGCCCCCACAAGUCUGAGUCCUUCUGGUGAGGCCCAAGCUAGGGAGCUCUGGGUGGGGGUGGGGGAUACCCAGGCACCUGAGGCUCUGGGGACCCACUCUUUUCCCCAGUGCUGCACCCCUGGGUCAAGCCCUGACACAGAGGUUUCUCUGCAGCAGGCAGAGGAGGGAGAUGGGGCAAAUGUCCGCCUCCCAAGGUCCAGCCCAGCUGAGCACUGGUGGCCCUGCUCCAGGUAGGAGCUGCAGCACCAGGGGUCGGUGGUGGUGGUAGGGCAAGAAACCCCCAAGAAAGAGGUGCAGGGUGGGCCAGGCUCUUGGAGAGCCGGUGUCCUCUGGCAUGGGGGGCCCUGAAGAAAAGGGGGUAGGAGUGAGGAUGGGGAUGGCCCCGCCCACCAGGGCGUAUGGGUUGGGGGCACACACAGGACACCACACACAAGGAUUGGGCUCCAUGGGGGGAGAGGGUGAGAUUGGCAAAGAAAGGGUGGGGUCUGGGAUCGGUGAGAGAUGACGGGACUCCCUGGAGGGGGGGUGGGGAGGAAGAGGGGGCCGGAGCCCUGCUGGGCGCUGGGCAGGCGCAGUACAUACACUGAGGUUAUUCCCACGUGGCCGGCCCCUUCUCCUCUGUCACAGCCCCAUGGGAUGGUGCACACAGAAAAAACAGAAAGAAGAAAAUAAAUAUAAAAGGCAAGAGGGAGAGUGAGGAGGUGGUGCAUGGAGAAGAAGCCAGGGAGGGGGUGGCACUGGCAUCAAGAGAAAUCGGAGGGAGAAGGCAGGAAGGAAAAGAAAAGUUAAAGUCCUGGCGGGUGGGUGUCCUGGGCCCCCAGGGCUGGAUGUCCUCCAUUUCCAUGGGUACAGAGGAGACAGACAGGAGACACAGACAGACAGAUGGCAGAGGCACGGGACCGAAAGACGGGACGGUGCAGCCUCGAGCCCCUGGCCCUGGGCUCUGCCUCAUGCGAUGCACACCCCAACCCCUGGCUCCAGCCGAUGCUCAAAGCUUCCACGUGGUGGCUGUCAGCUGGGCUUGUCCCAACCCUCUCCUGGGGCCCAGCAGCUCAGUCCUGAGGGGGCAGCAGCAUGCACACUGGGUGCUCUCCAACCCAUGUUCCCAGCAGCCAGAGGCCAGGCCCUCAGGUGACCCUGGUCCAGCCAGGCACAGCACAGCCUCCUGCCCCGUGCAGACGCCGCACACAGCACACAGAAAGCUCCCCACAGCCACACAUGCCACGCGCCCGGGCCAGGCUCUUGAAGCCACGCCCUGUUCUCCUCCAGAGGCGGGCUGUGUGCAUGGGGCCGCUGCUGCUCAGGCCUGGGGGGCAGCCAGCUAUGCCUCUGGGCCCUCUGUCCCAUGAGUCCAGGGCAACUGGAUCAUCUGCAGGUGGGCCUGGCAGCUGGGUGAAGCGGCCACACAGACACACAUCAAGCACACACCCCUGUCCCCCCCAGUGACCCCCACAGAGACCAGACAGAAAAUAAGAACCCAGCUGCCCCCAGACCCACCCCGGACUCUGCUACUUCAUCCUAGGACCUGUCAAGUUCCCAUAUACAGACACGUGUGCACGUACAUGUGUGCAUGUGUGAGUACAUGUGCAGUGUAUAUGCCCACGUGCACACGCAUGUGUGUGUAUGCAAGCAUCUGAGUAGGCGCACACUGCACAUGUGUGCAUGCAUGUUGAGCAUGUGUGUGUGUGUUUGUGUAGGGGUGAUCUUCGUGGCAGGUCUCACCUGGCCCUGUUGAACCCUGCUGCACCCACUAAUCUUCCACAACCUCCUUGUCUGCAACCUCCAACCAGGGCAGCCAGAGACCAUUUUGCAGUGGCCACUGCCCUCUGCCCCAGGGCAGCACUUUCCUCUCUGUCCUCUGUGAGGGAGGAGGGUCUGCCGGUGCUCCAGGUGUGGCCAGGUAGUGGGUGGGGCCUGCAGACUGCUUCAGAGGCCCAAGGAGUCUCUACCCAGGCCUGAGUCCGGCAGGGAGGGGAUGCACUGGGCUGCUUGUUGCGGGGGGCCCGGCCCCACCCGGUGCAGAGUUAGGGGUCCGGCCCCAGGGCAGUGGUGAAAGCCCUCACCUGGUUCUCUGCAGGGAGGCGGGGCAUGGAGGCGGCCCGGCCCUGGCCUUCCAUGGGGAGGUAGUGCUCGCUGUCGGAGUAGCCAUCUCUGCCCAUCUCUCGCAUCUCCACGGACUGCGGAGCAGAUGGCGAAGCUGGAUGAGCCCUGGGGCCUGACCUCCAGAUCCCUGGUGUCUGCAGAUGGAGGGAGCUGCAGAUGGGGAAGUUGGAGAGAAUGGGAGCACAUGGAGGAUACAUGCACUUCCAGGAGCAAAAAGCUAAAAAGCCAGUGAUAAAACAAGACCUCAGUCCUACAGCCACAAGGACUUCAAUUCUGCCAACACCUGAAUGAACCUGGAAGUACAUUCUCCCCCAGAUCCUCCAGAGAGGAGCCCAGCUUGGCUGACACCUUGAUUUCAGCCUCGUGAGACCCUCAGCAGACAGCCCAGUACAGCUUCUUGGACUUCUGACCUACGGGACUGUGAACUGACAAAUGGGGCCGUGCGGAUCAGAGCCAUGAGGGUGGAAUUGAAGUGGACGGUGUUGUCAUCUGCGACGGGCAGGUCCAUCCGCAGAAGCCGCUACAGAAAACCGAAGGCAAGCGCAGUCAUUCCCAGGCAUCUCUCCUGGGUCUCCCGUGAGCCACGCCCACCCCUACCCAGGGAGUCUGAGGAAGAACUCUGAAGGCUGCAGUGGCUGAGGUGUCCCUCACUCAGGUUACCUGUCCCAGUACUCUGUUUCUCUUGGUGGCCCGUAGGGAGGGCACAAAAGGCUCUCCUGUAUUUCUGGUCCCCUGCCCUCUCCUUUUUCCCCCCACCUGCUUGACCUGACAGCUGGCAUUUCCAGGGUUAGCCUCAAUCCUUGCCCCACCCCCGCCCCACCCCGCCCCAGAGUUCUUCUGGACGGCCCUGUUUCGGUCUGACCCCAAAGAAAAAGAGCACAAGCUGGAUUUGAGCAGCGCGUGCAACAGCCAAGGCUGACGGGGCCAGAACCACAGCCGCUGGUGGGGGGCGCCGCCGGCUCCCCACCCCCAACCCGUCUUGGCCCAGACCAGAUGGGCAUAGACCACACCAUUCCUCUGAGAAGCAGCAGGCAGGCAGCCCCCCACUGACGGGGCAGGCCCCUCGCAGGCAUGCAGCAAGGCUGUGACACAGAACAGCACAGACAGGGGUGCAUGCAGACGGAAUCUCGAGACUCAUUCAUAGCUCCGUGGGAAGUGUAUCUCAGGGACAUGUCCGGAUCUUGGCUCUCUGUGCAAUGGCAGGGGGAAGGGGUGAGGGGCAUUCCCUUCCAGCCCAGGGAAGAAAAGAUUCCCCAUGUCCCAGGCAGGGGCUCUGUCCACCACGCUUGGUGGCAUGGGAGAGGACGCUGGGCUGGUGUGCACCAGCCCAGGCUGAGGUGGCACAGAGAAGGGGGGUGAGGGUGACUUGGGUGGUGAUUCAGACACAUGUGGGCAGGAAACACAGAGCUGAAGAUGGGGAGGGGUAUGGUAAAUCCAGAGCAGGACAGUAGAGGGGACACUGGGGGCAGGGUGGGGAAGGAGGUGGGAAAUAGAGAAACACACACAGACUGGGCCACUGUGCACAGUUGUGCAGGUUGUACACUGCACAAAGGGCUCCCAUCUUGGAAAUGAUAGAUGUAUGUACUUAUUUAUUAAAAUAGUUUUUCUUUUUGUAGAGAUGGGGUCUUGCUAUGCUGCCCAGGCUAAUUGCGAACUGGGCUCAAGUGACCCUCCCAUCUCAGCCUCUCAAAGCACUAGGAUUACAGGCAUGAGCCACCACACCCCGCCCCUGAUUUGUGUACUAAAUAUAACAGCUUCUCAGCUGAUAGAAAGAAAGUGUCUUGUUCUCACCACAUUGGUGAAUUGCAACAAUUUUCCAACAGACAUGUUCUGUGAAAAGGGUGCCUUUUUCAAAUUUGCACACAGUUGUCUUAUGGACCCAUGGUGGCCUGCACAAAGACCGGGAGAGGAAGGGCUUUCUGUCCCUCUCUUGCACAUGCGCACACAUUCAUCUAAGCAGAGACUGAGAGAAGCGAGUUGAGGAAAACUGUGUGUGUGGAGUGGGGGGUGGGGGGCGGAGCAACAGGUGCCAGGAGAGGCUCACUGUCUGAGAUGCUGGUGGGACAACCUUGUCCCUGGCUUUGAUUGAGAAGUGAGGGGAGACAUAGAGGUUAGGUGAGGAGGGGUACACAGAGGAAGGAAAGGAAUGAGGUGGGGAGGCGGCAACAUGGGGCGGGUACAAAUAGCACUGAUGGAUGGGGACGCAGGGAAGAUCAAGGUGGAUGGGAGAAUAGGAUGAUGGGGUAAUAUUUUUUGGGCGGGGAGAAUCUUUAGGGGUCAUCCCUGAACUUCUUGUGGAUGAGUGGAGGAAACAGAGCAUCUGUCCUUGGGCGCCAAGGGAGAUUCCAGGACGGGGAUCUGGAGGGGUGGCCCGGCCCAGCCGCUUGGCGGCAGGACGCUUGCUCUCUCAGCCAGCAUGCACCACCCCCCGUCGGCCAUGGUGCCUGCCCGCCCCAGGCCCCGCCAAGGCAGCGUGCAUGGCCUGCAUCAGUGUGCCACCGUCCAGGGGUCCAACUGCGGCCGCCUGCCCACUCUGGAACAAUGGAGAGGCAUGUUGGGGUGUCUUGGGGGGGAGUUAGGGACGGGGGCUGGGGACAAAACUCCACGGGAGGGAAAGGAGGGGAAGAGAGGUUCUUGGUGCUUCUUGGAAGGUCUCGAAUCCCCCAAGGCCCUAGGUCAGAGAUCAGCUUCAGGUAUGUGUAGCAGGGGCGGGGACCUGGGGGCUCGAGGCACAAAAGAUGGGACGGGGACUUCCCCUGCUUUUGGGGGCUAAAACCCCUCUCUGCAAGGCGCCUGCCCCAGCCUGGGCAUGGGGGCCGCUCUGGGUGGGCAAAAGUGGGAGGCGUGGGUUUUGACUUCCCGAAGAAGCGUGUUUGUUUCCAAUUUGGUACCUGGGAGACCAGGUGCAAGGGGACCUGGGCGCUCCCCUCCCCCACCCCCAGCGUGUCGGCCAUAAUGGAGUCUCAAAACACGAAGACACUCAUCAGAAAGGACGGACACAGUGUGCUGCUUAGAAUCAAGGGAUGAUCAUGAUCAGUUUACUCGAGAAAAGAAAAAAAAGAAUCAAAAACAAAAAAGAGAAACGUUGGAAAAAGAGAGUCGGCCGGGUGUUUCUGGUCAGCACUAAAAAAAAGAAGAAGAAGAAGAAAAAAAAAAACCCAGUGCCCGGACGUCGGUGGUCGGCAAGGGUAGUCUACCUUGUAAGCCACUCUGGCCGGACACUUCUUCCCCAGACCCAGGGGCGGAGACAUGUGUCUCAGCAUCUGAUACAUGUCCAGGUAAGGCAUGCGGCCCCUGGCAGCACCGAAAACGGAAAAAAAAAAAAAAAA